rnacentral:lncRNA from 1 species
CUCCGAUGACAGUGAAGAAUGGGUGUAUGAAGAUGACACGUUGUCACUAUCAGCUGAAAAUCUGAGUCAGAUCAAAGCUACCUCUAUGGCUGAGAUGUGUAAGUAUGUGUUUCUACUCUCUCAGUGUUGAGUAUUUCCUUCGUGUUUCAUGGUUGUUCGUCACGUUUCCCAUCUCUGCUCAGUUGAUAGCAACUCUUCUGCUCAUCAUCCUUUCAGCGACUGGAGUAUUGAAGACAUCCAGACACACGAGGCAGAAAGCUUCCAGUUUGCAGACGUUGAUCUUCUGCCACCUCCAGCACUUUACGCCGACUCUCUGUGAGUCCGUGGUACGUCUCAGCACGUCAUCUGAUGCUUACAGAAUCAUUACUGGAACCAGCAAUACAUACUGAUUUAUAAUGUAUUUUUUUCUCUCUCCACAGUGACUUAGAUUGUAUUCUUGACCAAGGACAUCCUCAUUUCUUCAGGAAGCAGUGUUUGAAAACUAGCUGUCUAGCGCUGGCCUUUAGUCUUCAGAGAUCAUCAAAUCAGACUUGAUUCUCAAAUAGAUGCCAGCUUAGUGGUUUUAAUGAUGUGAGGGUGUGGCACUUUUUCAUUUCAACUGUUAAAUUGCAAAACUGAAGCUAUUUUUGAAGGAAUUGAGAGUGACUUUAGUUUUGCGUGCUGUCUACACAAUGCACAUUGGAAGUUGGUGGAUUGGUUACAUGUUUGUUUAAUAAUGAAAACACAACUUGAAUGGAAUAAACGGAUGUGAAUACAGCAGUGAGUCUGACCACUUUACUCCUUAAAUGAUAAAAGGGUUUACGUUAUGAGCUAUAUGUACAGUUUUAUGUCAUUCUCUGCUGCUGCCGCACUAUUUUUAGAUAUAUUCCAAGAUAUAAUUAAUUUAAAUAAUUUAUCUAUAGAAAUAAAUGUGAAACUAAAUAUGUAAACGUAUAAACAAAUAAAUUUACUAAAAGCAAAUUAAUACAUGUGUGGCUAAAUUGUAUGAAAAUAAAAUACAAAUUGUCCAUAUUGAGUAAAGAAUAGAUUUUUGUCAUUUACAUACUCUUAUCGGCCGAUUUUAUUUUUAAAGCCCCG